UGCCAGCCGCCGCGGUAACACGGGGGGCGCAAGCGUUAUUCGGAAUUAUUGGGCGUAAAGCGCGCGUAGGCGGCUUGGUCAGUCGGAUGUGAAAGCCCCGGGUUUAACCUGGGAAUUGCAUUCGAUACUGCCUGGCUAGAGUAUGGGAGAGGGAAGUGGAAUUUCCGGUGUAGCGGUGAAAUGCGUAGAUAUCGGAAGGAACACCAGUGGCGAAGGCGGCUUCCUGGCCCAAUACUGACGCUCAGGUGCGAAAGCGUGGGGAGCAAACAGGAUUAGAUA
rnacentral:rRNA from 1 species